GAUGAACGCUGGCGGCGUGCCUAAUACAUGCAAGUCGAGCGAACAGACGAGGAGCUUGCUCCUCUGACGUUAGCGGCGGACGGGUGAGUAACACGUGGAUAACCUACCUAUAUGACUGGGAUAACUUCGGGAAACCGGAGCUAAUACCGGAUAAUAUAUUGAACCGCAUGGUUCAAUAGUGAAAGACGGUUUUGCUGUCUCUUAUAGCUGGAUCCGCGCCGCAUUAGCUAGUUGGUAAGGUAACGGCUUAUCAAGGCAACGAUGCGUAGCCGACCUGAGAGAGUGAUCGGCCACACUGGAACUGAGACGCGGUCCAUACUCCUACGAGACGCAGCAGUAGGGAAUCUUCCGCAAUGGGCGAAAGCCUGACGGAGCAACGCCGCGUGAGUGAUGAAGGUCUUCGGAUCGUAAAACUCUGUUAUUAGGGAAGAACAAAUGUGUAAGUAACUAAGCACGUCUUGACGGUACCUAAUCAGAAAGCCACGGCUAACUACGUG
rnacentral:rRNA from 1 species